GGGGGACUACGCUGCUGAACUUAAGCAUAUCCAAUAAGCAGAGGAAAA
rnacentral:rRNA from 1 species